CCUACACAAGAAAAUCCAUCAGUAUUUUUAUUUCUUUCUCUUAUCUUCUUUUCUGGUUUUCUUCUUUUCUUACUUCUUGUCUUCUCCGUCGAAGAAGUUUCUGAGAGGAUCAAAAGGAGUAAACUUUAAGGAUUAAAUGAGUAAACUCUCAGGUGAAAUUUCCAAACUUUUUCUUUGUAUUCACUACUGAUUAAAAAAAAUUAAAAUUUUUUUUCUUCAGUUUCAAUUUCUUAGGGUUUACUGGAAAAUUUUAUUUUCUUUGAUUUCUGAGGGUUUGUGUUAUGGAUUCGUGGUCUAGAAAUGAAAUCUGGAUAUGGGUUUCUUCUUGUUUAUUAUGAAUUACUGCCAUUGUUCUUCUUCUUAUUUUAAGCUACUGUGACGAAUAUAAUUUUAUUCUGUUUA